GACGAACGCUGGCGGCGUGCCUAAUACAUGCAAGUCGAACGCAGUAGGGACGGGUGAGUAACACGUGGGUAACCUCCCAUCAGAGGGGAUAACACUUGGAAACAGGUGCUAAACCGAGACUGAUGGCUGGGAGCGCGGGGCAUUAGCCAGUUGGUGAGGUAACGGCUCACCAAGGCCACGAUGCAUAGCCGACCUGAGAGGGUGAUCUGCCACACUGGGACUGAGACACGGCCCCGACUCCUACGGGAGGCAGCAGUAGGGAAUCUUCGGCAAUGGACGAAAGCCUGACCGAGCAACGCCGCGUGAGUGAAGAAGGUUUUCGGAUCGUAAACCUCUUUUGUUAGAGAAGCGUUAUCUAACCAGAAAGCCCCGGCUAACUACGUGCCAGCAGCCGCGGUAAUUC
rnacentral:rRNA from 1 species